UACGGGGGGGGCAAGCGUUGUUCGGAAUUACUGGGCGUAAAGGGCUCGUAGGUGGCCAACUAAGUCAUACGUGAAAUCCCUCAGCUUAACUGGGGAACUGCGUCUGAUACUGGAUGGCUUGAGUUUGGGAGAGGGAUGCGGAAUUCCAGGUGUAGCGGUGAAAUUCGUAGAUAUCGGGAGGAACACCAGUGGCGAAGGCGGCGAUCUGGGAAGAUACUGACGCUGAGGUGCGAAAGCGUGGGGAGCGAACAGG
rnacentral:rRNA from 1 species